AGUGAACGCUGGCGGUAGGCCUAACACAUGCAAGUCGAACGGCAGCACAGUAAGAGCUUGCUCUUACGGGUGGCGAGUGGCGGACGGGUGAGGAAUACAUCGGAAUCUACUUUUUCGUGGGGGAUAACGUAGGGAAACUUACGCUAAUACCGCAUACGACCUACGGGUGAAAGCAGGGGAUCUUCGGACCUUGCGCGAUUGAAUGAGCCGAUGUCGGAUUAGCUAGUUGGCGGGGUAAAGGCCCACCAAGGCGACGAUCCGUAGCUGAUCUGAGAGGAUGGUCAGCCACACUGGAACGGAGACACGGUCCAGACUCCUACGGGAGGCAGCAGUGGGGAAUAUUGGACAAUGGGCGCAAGCCUGAUCCAGCCAUACCGCGUCGGUGAAGAAGGCCUUCGGGUCGUAAAGCCCUUUUGUUGGGAAAGAAAAGCAGCAGGUUAAUACCCCGCUGUUCUGACGGUACCCAAAGAAUAAGCACCGGCUAACUUCGUG
rnacentral:rRNA from 1 species